rnacentral:rRNA from 1 species
UACGGAGGGUGCAAGCGUUAUCCGGAUUCACUGGGUUUAAAGGGUGCGUAGGAGGGCAGGUAAGUCAGUGGUGAAAUCCCUGGGCUUAACCCAGAAACUGCCGUUGAUACUAUCUGUCUUGAAUACCGUGGAGGUGAGCGGAAUAUGUCAUGUAGCGGUGAAAUGCUUAGAUAUGACAUAGAACACCAAUUGCGAAGGCAGCUCGCUACACGAAUAUUGACUCUGAGGCACGAAAGCGUGGGGAUCAAACAGG